AGGUAAAUGUUUCAUGAUAAGAAUUUCAUGUCUUUUGUAUUAAAGAAUUAAAUGGAUGAAAUAUGAAGUUUUAUUAAAAGAAAAAGGGGUGAAAAGAACAAAGUUUUGUCCAUCUUUGUUCAUCAUAGCUGAAAGUUAGAGAAGAGAAAGGAGAGGAGAAAGCUCUUGAGUAUUUGGUCAUUAGGAGGAGGAAAAUUGAAGGAAAUCCCCAACCAUAGUGGGCUUGGAGCUGUGAGGGAAUUCGGAGUGGCCACCCAUUCUGAAAGUUUGAUUUUCUUCUGGUGAACUGGAUAUCCUUUUAAUUACGUUUGAGGUUUUAGGCUUUUAAAUGUAAUAAGGCCGCUUAUUUAUUUUUGAUGGUUUUUAAUAUGUAUUACUAAGAUAGGUAAUACUUAUUUUAA